AGCAGAACGGUAACGGUAGUGUAAAAAUUAGAAAUAAUCGUAAACUUUUUUGUCGGGUGUGUAAAUGUCAGACCGACAUUACGUUAAAAUGCCCCACAUAAAUUUCAACGCGAGACAAGCACAUCCCUUCGUUUAUCACUUCUUGAAAUCUGAUUUCAAUUUUAUAGUCUGCCCUAAAUUUCUAGUUCCGCGUAUAUAGAUACGCAUGAUAACAUUCUUAAUUGAAUAUUUGCAAAAGCUUUCAUUGAUUGAUUAAAUACUUGAAACUUGAAUACGAAUAAAAAACCAUUGGAUAGAAAUCAAUUAAUUUUUCAUUAUGCAAUAUUUGCUUUUCAUUGGAAAUUUAGUUAUUCGGAAAAGUAUAUCAGAUGUUGCUUUGAUUGAAAAAGUUCUAAGUAUCGACAAAAUUUACGACAGACGUAGAAGAACCAAAAGAGAACUUAUUGUGAUGUAGUUGAGGAUUCACUUUCUCGGAUAAUUUAAAUUCACAGUGAAAGUGCCUAUCAGAGGCGUGCAGCAUUCAAUACCUGCAGGAACUUCGCAGCGAAUAAAUAUUUGACAGACGAAUCUCCUCGAGCUAAGAAUAGAAUCUCUGAUUUUUAUUUUACUUGCCCGUCAGCAUUCAACGAACCAGAAUAAAAUGGACAAUACGAUUAGUUCCAAGAUGAGCCCAACUCGGUGUAUAUCGGAUGAUACAUUUCCACCAGAUUCUGGAAAACAUAUAACAGAUUUGUUACAGACAAAACAAAAUGACAUAGAAGCAGCUGUACUUAUAAAAAUAUAUAAUUAUGUGAAUCGAGGUAAACUUAUAAAAGGUUCAACAUUUUGAGUUGAAAGAUACACAGUGACGAAGUGGUUCCGUGGUUUCGUCCUCACAGUCUUCUUCAACGGAUCUGAUCUCUAUGAACCCCUUCUUUUCGGGUUCGUCGACCUCCAACGCAUUCACUGCGUAAUCGGACCUU